GGCGCCCGCCGCCCCUGGCCGCGUUUCCCCGGCCCUCCGCGACGCCGGGCCUUUCAGGGACCCUUUCCUCGUCCGAGGGAGGAGACAAGUUUCCAGUCGCCCAGCCCCCUUGCUCCUCUGCUUCCCCAGCCCUAACCUACCCGACGCCUCCAAGGUGACAGGCCUCAGGGCCCCGGACACCCACAGCCCCGCCGCACGCACGACGGUGUGAGGGCUUCGCGCGGCCCAAGAGGCCGAGCGCUAUUGCCGAGGGCGCAGAUGAGAAAUUUGAAACAACAAGGAAAUUGUACGCACUGCCCAGUAUAAUACCACUGGGUACAAGCUUCAGGAGGGCAAAGGAUGUCAUCUCUCCUGUUCCCUCGUGCAUAGAGCAUCUAAUACUGUGCCAGACAUAUGAUAACGUUAAGUUGGUCCCAGCCAGAACGGUUUGUAUUCCCACAUGAACUUGCUGCCAGCUGGAUGCCAACUUAAUGCCUGCUGAUACUUAGAUGGCAAAAGGUUUAAGGUUCUACCCUCUGAUGGCUCUGAACUGACCCAAAUCAGAUGGCCUGGCUUCUGAUCCAAACUCCA